rnacentral:lncRNA from 1 species
GGAUCACGCAAAAGCUCGGGAAGUAUUGAAAAUUGCCAAAGAAAAGGCACAGAAGAAGCAAAGUGAAACCUCCACUUCCAAAAAUGCGCACUCGAAAGUCCAUUUCACACGCCGGUAUCAGAAUCCUAGCUCAGGUUCUCUCCCACCUCGAGUGCGCUUAAAACCACAACGGUACAGGAAUGAAGAAAACGACUCUUCUCUGAAGACGGGACUGGAGAAAAUUCGGAGUGGCAAGCUGGCCCCUAAGCCGCAGUCUCGAUGUACCUCCACCCGCUCAGCAGCACAAAGACAUUAGCCGACUGCUGGUUUCUUGGAUGUGUACCACAGUGACAGAGCAACAGAGCAACAGGACUGAAUAAGAUUGGAGUUUUAAGCUGCACUAAGAAGUCUAUGUAAAGGCAGUGACCAAAACCAGUCCUCUACACAAGGGCAGUUGCAAGGUAGACUGAAUGGAAGGAAGGUAUUAGGGAAUAUUUUCUAUAUAUAGAAGAAACAAACUGCUGCAAUAAAUUAUGCAUGAGGUGAGGAGGAAGUGGUCUGAGCAAUGUGCAGGACGCACUGAGUGGUGCGGAGGAAUCACUGACAGUAGCUUCUGUUGAAUGUGAACGAUAGUUUGGACAGGCCUACGAGGCAGAGGAUGGUGCGGAAAGUCAGAACUGUUCGCAUACCUAACCUUUGUGCUUUCCCCAAGGAUUAUGGUUAUCAGUUCAGAAGUGAGCAGAGGUGUGUUUAAAAUGGCGCUCCAGUGAAACAGCAAUGGUCACGUGUGCUAAGGCCAGUGUUUCCUUCGGGUGCCAGCAGAAACGAGAGGAAGAGG